rnacentral:rRNA from 1 species
AGCAGCCGCGGUAAUUCCAGCUCCAAUAGCGUAUAUUAAGUUGUUGCAGUUAAAAGCUCGUAGUUGAAUUUCGGGACCAAUUUGUUGGUCGUGCCUCGGUACGUACUGGUAUUAUUGGUUUCUCCCUUCUGAAGAACCUCGAUGUCAUUAAUUUGGUGUCGUGGGGAGUCAGGACUGUUACUUUGAAAAAAUUAGAGUGUUUAAAGCAGGCUCACGCUUGAAUACAUUAGCAUGGAAUAAUGAAAUAGGACGUUUGAUUCUAUUUUGUUGGUUUCUAGGGAUCGACGUAAUGAUUAAUAGGGAUAGUUGGGGGCAUUAGUAUUCAAUUGUCAGAGGUGAAAUUCUUGGAUUUAUUGAAGACUAACUACUGCGAAAGCAUUUGCCAAGGAUGUUUUCAUUAAUCAAGAACGAAAGUUAGGGGAUCGAAGACGAUCAGAUACCGUCGUAGUCUUAACCAUAAACUAUGCCGACUAGGGGAUCGGAUGAUGUUAAUUUUUAAUGACUCAUUCGGCGCCUUACG